CCUACGGUGUGCAGCAGUCGAGAAUCAUUCACAAUGGGGGAAACCCUGAUGGUGCGACGCCGCGUGGGGGAAUGAAGGUCUUCGGAUUGUAAACUCCUGUCAUGUGGGAGUAAAUUAAAAAGAUAGUACCACAAUAGGAAGAGACGGCUAACUCUGUGCAAGUAGCCGCGGUAAUACAGAGGUCUCAAGCGUUGUUCGGAAUCACUGGGCGUAAAGCGUGCGUAGGCUGUUUCGUAAGUCGUGUGUGAAAGGGGCGGGCUCAACCCGCGGACGGCACAUGAUACUGGGAGACUAGAGUACAGGAGAGGGAACCGGAAUUCGUGGUGUAGCAGUGAAAUGCGUAGAUAUCGAGAAGAACACUCGUGGCGAAGGCAGGUUCCUGGACAUUAACUGACGCUGAGGCACGAAGGCGAGGGGAGCGAAAGGGAUUAGAUACCCUUGUAGUC
rnacentral:rRNA from 1 species